GUGAAAACACAAAAUGUGUUCAUGAGGCCUGGCCGGUGCACACAGAGCACACAGCACGCCUCUUGCCUGGUGGUCCUCUUCAGAGUGAUGCUUAUACCACAUCACACAUCGUGUGCUAUAAGGAUGGGUGAAGUGAAAGUGGAGAAGAGGCAAGCAUUAGAAACGGCAACAAAGGCCUCCCAGCUGCACCGCCAAGACCCUUCAGUCGAGAGCUUUAAUUUAACUGUGCUCCAUCUCAUUUGGCCCAGGGAUGGAGGCCAAACAAGGUAACUGCUCCCUUUCACAGGCUAGGAGAUGACUGCCUCUUACAAUUAAACAAUCAUAGCACAUUUGAC
rnacentral:lncRNA from 1 species